CUGAGGAACAGGGCUUAGCCGCUUGUGAGCAGGGUCCGCACCAAGUCGUGUUCACAGUGGCUAAGU
rnacentral:pre_miRNA from 1 species